rnacentral:rRNA from 1 species
GACGAACGCUGGCGGCGUGCCUAAUACAUGCAAGUUGAGCGCUGAAGGUUGGUACUUGUACCAACUGGAUGAGCAGCGAACGGGUGAGUAACGCGUGGGGAAUCUGCCUUUGAGCGGGGGACAGCAUUUGGAAACGAAUGCUAAUACCGCAUAAAAACUUUAAACACAAGUUUUAAGUUUGAAAGAUGCAAUUGCCUCACUCAAAGAUGAUUCCGCGUUGUAUUAGCUAGUUGGUGAGGUAAAGGCUCACCAAGGCGAUGAUACAUAGCCGACCUGAGAGGGUGAUCGGCCACAUUGGGACUGAGACACGGCCCAAACUCCUACGGGAAGCAGCAGUAGGGAAUCUUCGGCAAUGGACGAAAGUCUGACCGAGCAACGCCGCGGGAGUGAAGAAGGUUUUCGGAUCGUAAAACUCUGUUGGUAGAGAAGAACGUUGGUGAGAGUGGAAAGCUCAUCAAGUGACGGUAACUACCCAGAAAGGGACGGCUAACUACGUG